rnacentral:rRNA from 1 species
GAUGAACGCUGGCGGCGUGCUUAACACAUGCAAGUCGAACGGAAAGGCUCCUGCUUGCAGGGGUACUCGAGUGGCGAACGGGUGAGUAACACGUGGGUGAUCUGCCCUGCACUUCGGGAUAAGCCUGGGAAACUGGGUCUAAUACCGGAUAGGACCACAUUUUGGAUGGUGUGGCGGAAAGUUUUUCGGUGUGGGAUGAGCUCGCGGCCUAUCAGCUUGUUGGUGGGGUAAUGGCCUACCAAGGCGUCGACGGGUAGCCGGCCUGAGAGGGUGUACGGCCACAUUGGGACUGAGAUACGGCCCAGACUCCUACGGGAGGCAGCAGUGGGGAAUAUUGCACAAUGGGCGCAAGCCUGAUGCAGCGACGCCGCGUGGGGGAUGACGGCCUUCGGGUUGUAAACUCCUUUCGCUAGGGACGAAGCGCAAGUGACGGUACCUGGAGAAGAAGCACCGGCUAACUACGUG